rnacentral:rRNA from 1 species
AUGAGAAUUUGGAGAAAACCAAAUCCAUGCAUAGGAUGCAGAACUCCUAGCUGUAUGAAUUCGUGUUCUGUCCCUCACCAAGCUGCUGGCCGUUACCUUCCUCUUGUGCAUGGCAGCACCGAGGCGGUCGGUUGUCUCCGUGUAAUGAGACCGACACCAGGGCGAGGUCAUCAACUGGUCUCACCUUUACCGCUACCUGGCGCUGUCGCUGGAGAUGCCAUGGCGCUCGUGUACGGCGCCAGCACCUUGUUCUACGUCGUGCGCACGCCGGAGCGGUGGCGCCCUGGGAUAUUGCAGGCAAUAUCACCAGCACUUCCACGUGCUUGGCACGCUCACACACUACGCCGUCACAAACCCACCACCAUUCUCAUCGACUGGAGCCACGAGCAGCUGCUCAUUGCAAUUGUUGUGAUGCCAUGA